AGUGAACGCUGCGGGAGGCCUAACACAUGCAAGUCGAACGGCAGCACAGUAAGAGCUUGCUCUUACGGGUGGCGAGUGGCGGACGGGUGAGGAAUACAUCGGAGUCUACUUUUUCGGGGGGGAUUAAGUAGGGAAACUUACGCUAAUACCGCAUACGACCUACGGGUGAAAGCAGGGGAUCUUCGGACCUUGCGCGGUUGAAUGAGCCGAUGUCGGAUUAGCUAGUUGGCGGGGUAAAGGCCCACCAAGGCGACGAUCCGUAGCUGGUCUGAGAGGAUGAUCAGCCACACUGGAACUGAGACACGGUCCAGACUCCUACGGGAGGCAGCAGUGGGGAAUAUUGGACAAUGGGCGCAAGCCUGAUCCAGCCAUACCGCGUGGGUGAAGAAGGCCUUCGGGUUGUAAAGCCCUUUUGUUGGGAAAGAAAAGCAGCAGGUUAAUACCCCGCUGUUCUGACGGUACCCAAAGAAUAAGCACCGGCUAACUUCGUG
rnacentral:rRNA from 1 species